GGAUCAAUAUAUCGGUCGUGCCUUCGGUAUGUACUGGUAUUAUUGGUUUCUCCUUUCUGACAAACUAUGAUGUCAUUAAUUUGGUGUCAUGGGGAAUCAGGACUGUUACUUUGAAAAAAUUAGAGUGUUUAAAGCAGGCACACGCUUGAAUACAUUAGCAUGGAAUAAUGAAAUAGGACGUUUGACCCUAUUUUGUUGGUUUCUAGGAUCGACGUA
rnacentral:rRNA from 1 species